rnacentral:tRNA from 1 species
GCCUAGUUAGCUUGGAGGGUAGCGUCUGCCUUGUAAGCGCUAAGACGCAGGUUCGAUUCUUGCCCGGGGCG